CUUAGAGUUUGAUCCUGGCUCAGGAUGAACGCUGGCGGCAUGCCUAAUACAUGCAAGUCGAACGAGAGGAAGGAAAGCUUGCUUUUCUGAAUCUAGUGGCGAACGGGUGAGUAACACGUAGGUAACCUGCCCAUGUGCCCGGGAUAACUUCUGGAAACGGAUGCUAAAACCGGAUAGGUAGCAGACAAGCAUUUGACUGCUAUUAAAGUGGCUAAGGCCAUGAACAUGGAUGGACCUGCGGUGCAUUAGCUAGUUGGUGAGGUAACGGCCCACCAAGGCGACGAUGCAUAGCCGGCCUGAGAGGGCGGACGGCCACAUUGGGACUGAGACACGGCCCAAACUCCUACGGGAGGCAGCAGUAGGGAAUUUUCGUCAAUGGGGGGAACCCUGAACGAGCAAUGCCGCGUGAGUGAGGAAGGUCUUCGGAUCGUAAAGCUCUGUUGUAAGAGAAAAACGACAUUCAUAGGGAAUGAUGAGUGAGUGAUGGUAUCUUACCAGAAAGUCACGGCUAACUACGUGCCAGCAGCCGCGGUAAUACGUAGGUGGCGAGCGUUAUCCGGAAUGAUUGGGCGUAAAGGGUGCGUAGGUGGCAGAACAAGUCUGGAGUAAAAGGUAUGGGCUCAACCCGUACUGGCUCUGGAAACUGUUCAGCUAGAGAACAGAAGAGGACGGCGGAACUCCAUGUGUAGCGGUAAAAUGCGUAGAUAUAUGGAAGAACACCGGUGGCGAAGGCGGCCGUCUGGUCUGUUGCUGACACUGAAGCACGAAAGCGUGGGGAGCAAAUAGGAUUAGAUACCCUAGUAGUCCACGCCGUAAACGAUGAGAACUAGGUGUUGGGGGAAUAACUCAGUGCCGCAGUUAACGCAAUAAGUUCUCCGCCUGGGGAGUAUGCACGCAAGUGUGAAAC
rnacentral:rRNA from 1 species